UACGUAGGUGGCAAGCGUUGUCCGGAUUUACUGGGCGUAAAGAGCGCGCAGGCGGUCGUUCAAGUCGCGUGUGAAAGCCCCCGGCUCAACUGGGGAGGGUCACGCGAUACUGAUCGACUCGAAGGCAGGAGAGGGUAGUGGAAUUCCCGGUGUAGUGGUGAAAUACGUAGAUAUCGGGAGGAACACCAGUGGCGAAGGCGACUACCUGGCCUGUUCUUGACGCUGAGGCGCGAAAGCUAGGGGAGCAAACAGG
rnacentral:rRNA from 1 species